rnacentral:rRNA from 1 species
UACGGAGGGUGCAAGCGUUAAUCGGAAUUACUGGGCGUAAAGCGCGCGUAGGCGGUUUGUUAAGUCGGAUGUGAAAUCCCCGGGCUCAACCUGGGAACUGCAUUCGAUACUGAUGAACUAGAGUAUGAUAGAGGGUGGUAGAAUUCCUGGUGUAGCGGUGAAAUGCGUAGAUAUCAGGAGGAAUAUCGGUGGCGAAGGCGGCCACCUGGGUCAAUACUGACGCUGAAGUGCGAAAGCGUGGGGAGCAAACAGG